UGCGAGCACAUGAGUGUGUGAUGGAUGGCUUUGAGCGUUUUGCCCAAGGUCACUUGAUCACCCUCUUCUCGGCAACAAACUACUGUGGUACGGCAAACAACGCAGGUGCAAUCUUAGUUCUGGGAAGGGAUCUUGUGGUUGUCCCAAAACUCAUUCAUCCUUUGCCACCUGCCAUUACAUCUCCUGAGACAUCCCCGGAGCAC
rnacentral:pre_miRNA from 1 species